GCUAUGACUGUGAAGGAAAGCAGUAGGCUGACAUGUUUUUAAAGAGAGCUUCUGGUUGGUGUGAAGAGGCAAAACAUGCUGUUGAAUCCGUUCCCGAGUCUGCAGGGGUUGAAAAACCUGCACGUUGGAGGCGUUAACUCAUUUGAGCGACUGCAGUUAUUAUUUGCAGUAAUCAGGGUGGUAUCGCGGUAGUAUUCAAUACUCUCGUCCCUUUA
rnacentral:ncRNA from 1 species